rnacentral:tRNA from 1 species
ACUAGAGUGGCAGAUUAGUGCAUAGGAUUUAAGAUCCUAUUAGGAAAUAUAUCAGGUUAUUUUUUCUAGUA